CCUCUCCACAUAUCUCUCUCUUUAGCCAUCUCUCUCUUGAAAUCACCAUGAAAGCUUGAGCUCUCUCCUCUCUGCCUCUCUCUCUCCGCGUCUCUCUCUCUCUCCGCCUCUCUCUCUCCGUGUCACUCUCUCUCCGUGUCUCUCUCUCUCCGGCGUCUCUCUCUGCGUCUCACUCUCUUGUCAGCUCACUCUCUCUCAGAUUACUUAAGAUGUCAACUUCAAGUCUCAUGUGGGUUUUAUUAACUUGCAUAUGGUUCAUCACUUGAUUUGCUUGUGGGACAAAUUGUUACUGAUGGGCAAACCUCAUUGCUGCAACAUGAGAUGACCAAACGGUGUAUGUUUCUCUUCUGUGAGAAAAAGGAACAUAGAUAUUGCACUGAGAACAUCAAAAUGCGCCUUUGAUGUAUAUAUGUAAUUAGUCUUUACCUUCGAACAAAUCAAUGGAUUCUUGUUGAAUCAUUCAUUCACAUUCGUUCGUUUUGAUGAUUACACUUCUUUAACCGAAAUUCAAAUUGAAUAUUCGUAUAUGCAAAUGAUCCAUUAUCAUGUUA